rnacentral:rRNA from 1 species
UACGGAAGGCAGCAGUGGGGAAUAUUGCACAAUGGGCGAAAGCCUGAUGCAGCUAUGCCGCGUGUAUGAAGAAGGCCUUAGGGUUGUAAAGUACUUUCAUCGGGGAGGAAAAACAAAACUAAUAAUUUUAUUUCUUGACGUUACCCGAAAAAGAAGCACCGGCUAACUCCGUGCCAGCAGCCGCGGUAAUACGGAGGGUGCUAGCGUUAAUCAGAAUUACUGGGCGUAAAGAGCACGUAGGUGGUUUUUUAAGUCAGAUGUGAAAUCCCUGGGCUUAACCUAGGAACUGCAUUUUGAAACUGAAAUACUAGAGUAUCGUAGAGGGAGGUAGAAUUCUAGGUGUAGCGGUGAAAUGCGUAGAUAUCUGGAGGAAUACCUGUGGCGAAAGCGGCCUCCUAAACGAAUACUGACACUGAGGUGCGAAAGCGUGGGGAGCAAAC